GACGAACGCUGGCGGCGUGCUUAACACAUGCAAGUCGAACGGAAAGGCCCUGCUUUUGUGGGGUGCUCGAGUGGCGAACGGGUGAGUAACACGUGAGUAACCUGCCCUUGACUUUGGGAUAACUUCAGGAAACUGGGGCUAAUACCGGAUAGGAGCCCCUGCUGCAUGGUGGGGGUUGGAAAGUUUCGGCGGUUGGGGUUGGACUCGCGGCUUAUCAGCUUGUUGGUGGGGUAGUGGCUUACCAAGGCUUUGACGGGUAGCCGGCCUGAGAGGGUGACCGGCGACAUUGGGACUGAGGGACGGCGCAGACGCCAACGGGAGGCAGCAGUGGGGAAUAUUGCACAAUGGGCGGAAGCCUGAUGAAGCAGCGCCGCGUGCGGGAUGACGGCCUUCGGGUUGUAAACCGCUUUCGCCUGUGACGAAGCGUGAGUGACGGUAAUGGGUAAAGAAGCACCGGCUAACUACGUG
rnacentral:rRNA from 1 species